rnacentral:tRNA from 1 species
AAGGGAGACCUAAUUCAGGUAUGGGACGAAAAAAAAGUAGUCCCUACCAAGAAUCAAUCCCAAAAGGUCGGAACGAGGUGUGUGGCUUUCAAACUAGGUUCUGGGUUCAUAAAAGACCUGAAUCAGGAACAAGGGCUAUUAGCUCAGGUGGUUAGAGCGCACCCCUGAUAAGGGUGAGGUCCCUGGUUCGAGUCCAGGAUGGCCCACCUGCACAGGUGGCAAAAACAAGAGAAGCGAGGAAUCAGCACCUUAUCUUACUGACAUAGUAAGAGAGAAUGCUGGCUCUGAGUAAAGAGUCCAGAGGAACCUUGAAAACUGCAUAGAGCUAGGUGAAAAAGCCAAAAAAGAAGACCGCAA